CUAAAUCUACCAGAAACAAUGAAAACAUAUAGUAAGACCUUUGGCCUAAAGAUUGACCAAUCAAAAGGUUAGAAUUUUCCCUCCAAAAUGAUAUGAAAGAAAAGAGGUUCACCAAAGGGAAAAGAGAAUGAUACUAGAACAAUAGUGCUAGAAAUAGAAACAAUGAAUAACCAAACUAUCAAACACUCCAAUAAAAUUAAUAUCAUCAAUAUCAUAUUUGAUAUAUCAAUCAAAUAUGACUCUGCCACAUUUUUAAAAACUAUAA
rnacentral:lncRNA from 1 species